AUUGAACGCUGGCGGCAGGCCUAACACAUGCAAGUCGAGCGGAUGAAGGGAGCUUGCUCCUGGAUUCAGCGGCGGACGGGUGAGUAAUGCCUAGGAAUCUGCCUGGUAGUGGGGGAUAACGUCCGGAAACGGGCGCUAAUACCGCAUACGUCCUGAGGGAGAAAGUGGGGGAUCUUCGGACCUCACGCUAUCAGAUGAGCCUAGGUCGGAUUAGCUAGUUGGUGGGGUAAAGGCCCACCAAGGCGACGAUCCGUAACUGGUCUGAGAGGAUGAUCAGUCACACUGGAACUGAGACACGGUCCAGACUCCUACGGGAGGCAGCAGUGGGGAAUAUUGGACAAUGGGCGAAAGCCUGAUCCAGACAUGCCGCGUGUGUGAAGAAGGUCUUCGGAUUGUAAAGCACUUUAAGUUGGGAGGAAGGGCAGUAAGUUAAUACCUUGCUGUUUUGACGUUACCAACAGAAUAAGCACCGGCUAACUUCGUG
rnacentral:rRNA from 1 species